rnacentral:rRNA from 1 species
UACGUAGGUGGCAAGCGUUAUCCGGAAUUAUUGGGUGUAAAGGGUGCGUAGGCGGGAUGUAAAGUCAGAUGUGAAAUGCCGCAGCUUAACUGCGGAGCUGCAUUUGAAACUUACGUUCUUGAGUGAAGUAGAGGUAAGCGGAAUUCCUAGUGUAGCGGUGAAAUGCGUAGAUAUACGGAGGAACACCAGUGGCGAAGGCGGCCGCCUGGCCUGUUACUGACGCUGAGGCACGAAAGCGUGGGGAGCAAAUAGG